rnacentral:rRNA from 1 species
UACGAAGGGGGCUAGCGUUGCUCGGAAUCACUGGGCGUAAAGGGUGCGUAGGCGGGUCUUUUAAGUCAGGGGUGAAAUCCUAGAGCUCAACUCCAGAACUGCCUUUGAUACUGAGGAUCUUGAGUUCGGGAGAGGUGAGUGGAACUGCGAGUGUAGAGGUGAAAUUCGUAGAUAUUUCGCAAGAACACCAGUGGCGAAGGCGGCUCACUGGCCCGAGUACUGACGCUGAGGCACGAAAGCGUGGGGAGCAAACAGG